GUCCAGACUCCUACGGGAGGCAGCAGUGGGGAAUUUUGGACAAUGGGCGCAAGCCUGAUCCAGCAAUGCCGCGUGAGUGAAGAAGGCCUUCGGGUUGUAAAGCUCUUUUGUCAGGGAAGAAACGGUGGAGGCUAAUAUCCUUUGCUAAUGACGGUACCUGAAGAAUAAGCACCGGCUAACUACGUGCCAGCAGCCGCGGUAAUACGUAGGGUGCAAGCGUUAAUCGGAAUUACUGGGCGUAAAGCGUGCGCAGGCGGUUUUGUAAGUCUGUCGUGAAAUCCCCGGGCUCAACCUGGGAAUUGCGAUGGAGACUGCAAGGCUAGAAUCUGGCAGAGGGGGGUAGAAUUCCACGUGUAGCAGUGAAAUGCGUAGAUAUGUGGAGGAACACCGAUGGCGAAGGCAGCCCCCUGGGUCAAGAUUGACGCUCAUGCACGAAAGCGUGGGGAGCAAACAGGAUUAGAUACCCUGGUAGUCCACGCCCUAAACGAUGUCUACUAGUUGUCGGGUCUUAAUUGACUUGGUAACGCAGCUAACGCGUGAAGUAGACCGCCUGGGGAGUACGGUCGCAAGAUUAAAACUCAAAGGAAUUGACGGGGACCCGCACAAGCGGUGGAUGAUGUGGAUUAAUUCGAUGCAACGCGAAAAACCUUACCUACCCUUGACAUGGCAGGAAUCCCUGAGAGAU
rnacentral:rRNA from 1 species